GAAAAAAAAAAAAAACAGAAACAUUACAAAACAAAAAGCACAUUUGUUUGAACUUGGCUGUUCAAAAUCUUUGAAAGAAUCCAAAUCAAAUGUCUGUUGGAUUAAAUUGACAUGUACCUUUCAGUCACAGACUGGCUCCCAGUAUGACUCUGUGGAUCUGUGUGAAUGUCACUGGAACAUCUUACAGGAAGGACAGAUAGUAACUAUUGAUUGUUCAUCUUUCCAACAGCACUGCGGGAUGGAAACACCGGUCUCAUUAAUGCAGAAAACCUCAUCCGUACAGGAAGUGAAGGAGGAAACAUUAUAGUUGGAUGCUCCUUCUCUUUCUCUGGAAGCAGGAAGAUCUUCUGUAAGAGAGAAUGUGAAGGAAAAUACAUUCUUAUUCAAACAGAUGAGGACAGAGCUCAGAAUGACAGAUACAGCAUUGAAUAUAAAGAAGGAACUUUUCCAGCAUCUAAAACAAUUCUGUAUGUGAGCAUCACAAACCUGACUAAGUCUGACUCGGGGCGGUACAGAUGUUGGUUGGACAGAAAAUGGUCACCAGAUUCAACCGAGGACUUUGAGCUCAGAGUUGAAGAUGCUCCAACCACUUCAAAACCAAACUGGAAAAUCACCACCAAAGCACCUUUUACACCAUCAGUGUCUCAGAGUUUAAGCUCCAGUUCUGGAAGCUCCACACCUUCAUCAUCCUCCCCUGAAACCACCAACCAGUCAAACAGUUUGUUCUUGAUUUUUCCGUACACAAUCUCCCAGUUAACUGAACCACACUGUAGAGUUGCAUUAUGGCUGCUUGCAGUAAAUGUGAAAUGUUUUUUAACUCAUUAAAACUUGCCUUCUUCCAACUUUCCUUUAACAUCAUGAAUCAAAGUUAUUCCAGAUUUUCAAAACUGGUAAACAACAAAAAACCAAUCACAGCUUGAGUUGUCCUCUCAGAGCUGAGUGACAAUACAAACCAACCAAUAGUGUGCCAUGUAUCUGUGAAGCAGCUAACAGGUUUAACGUAUCAAAUAGAUUAAAAUAUCCAUUUAUAACAAACUGAACAGCUGCAUCAAUCUCAUUUAUGCUUCUAUUUGUGUUUGUUUACUUGGUGAUGUUUUAUUCUGCAGCGUAAAAUCUGUACAUGCAUGUGUGUGUUUAUGCAUGUAUGUAGAACAUAAACAUUAUACAACUUAAGUUUAUUGUUGGUUGAGAGAUCUUUUACAUGAAUGGACUCUCAGGUCCCACAUGUACCUGAGAGUCCAGGUAUGCAGACUCCCAGAUAUUUCAUAAUGAACCAGAAAGUGGAAACCAAACCUGUUCUACAACCACAGGUGUGCAGCUGUAUGUGCGUCUGACUGUGGUCGUCAUGAUCAUCGUAUUAUCAGCGUCUGUGCUGAUAUUCUGCAGGAAGAGGGCCAGUGAACCCAAAGGUGAGACUGCAGGAAACAGAACAAACACAACUGAAUGUCACGUGAAAUAAAUAUACUCACAUAUUUUCUUCACACUCAAAGAAGUUAGCCUAUGUUUAACACAAUUCAUGUGCAAUUUGACCUUACCUUGGAAAGAGAAAGUUUAUUUACAAGGAAAAAUUAUAUUUUCCCCCAAGUUACAUGUUUUAUGAGCCUGGAUCAAGUUCUCUAACAGAAAUGAAUGCAUACAAGUUAAGUAGUAAAGUGCAGUGGACCUAAUCUUCUGAAGUGCAUGUUUUUCAGAACCUGCUGUGGAGUAUGUUAAUGUCACCGAGGUGAGUUUGAGUAAAUUUGGGCCCAUGAGCGUUAUUAGUGUUUGUGAAACCAGCUGAUUUUAAUACAAAGCCCUGUUCUCUUCCUGCAGGCCAGGAUCAGAGAGGAGGACAGACAGAGCAGAUCUCCUCCUGAAGAAAUGUCUACAGUUUACAUUCACUGCAGCCAGUUCUCAGAAUAAGGUGAGUUAAAAACUGUGGUAGGGGUUUAAAGGUCCAGGAAAAACCAAACAGGUUGUUUUUCAGUUGGUUACAAUCUGCAAUCUCAUCACUAGAUGACACUAAAUCCUACACACUGCUCAUUUAACUUUGGGUUUAGACAACAGUGUCUUUAGACUUCACCCACUAUAAUAAGUUGAGUAGAUAACAACGUACAGCAGAGGGAUGAUUUACAGUGGCAGUAUAGAGGGAAGACUGUGGAUAUGUUUUAAAAAUGGUAACGUGCUUUCUGUUUAAGAAACUGAAACAAGGUCAGUUUGUGAUCAAAUCUCCAGCUACAAGAUUCUGUGAGUUUAAGGAGGAAGUCCUCGGACUGAAUGUUUCGUUGCAAAGAGAGAGAGAAAGGUUGUGUACUGAGAUACAGGGUUCAAUAUCAAAUAAAGAAUGUGUAGAUAAAAGCCUGUUUACAGUUUAAAUGAAGCAGCACACAUGCUGAAAUGAUGCUUAUGUGACCAAACAGGUGAGUAAACUCAACAACCAGCUGACUGAUGCUGAGGGGCUUCCUGUCUUGGGACCACAGGAAGGGCAGUUAUUGUAACUGACUGUUAACAUGAAUGUUUGAGCUGAAAUAUAGAACCAUAAAAUAUGAAUAACCCACACUGAAACAUCAGACUGUAGUUGUUUAAACAGCCUGCACUACAGUUGUGUGGAAGUGCAUUGAGUUGCAGUACCACCAGUGGCCACUAGAGGCCGGCUGCAACAACCUCUGGUUCUAUGAUAAACUUCACACUGGAAAUAAAAGAGAACCAUGAAACUGUGAAAAUUAACUUCACACACAACUGACAGUGUUCAAUACUGGAUUUAAGAUGCUGAUAGAAAUACUUUAUUCUUUUAAAAUUAUGAUAACCUGCUGACAUUGUUUUGUUUUUUACUUUAAAAAAAUAAAGCUUCCAGUUGUUAUUCAGACUAAAACAGUCAGUGAGUGAUAACCUUUGACCUCUGUUUGUUUUCUUCCAGACUUUCAGUAAACUCACCUACUCUGAGCUCCAACAGUGCAGCUGCCUGGUUCAACAGCGCCCCCUGUGGUGAUGCAGAUAAUGUGGUCCACUCUCUGGUUUAUGUUAGAUGAAGGUGAAAAGCAUUUGAGCACCUCCCAGUGGUUGGUUGGUCAUUUAUGAUCACAUGGAUAGGGUCAUAGUUGAGAGCAGCCAUUUGUGUGGAGGUUUGCACAGUAAGGAGCUCCAGAACUUUCUCCGUUUAAUCCUUCGCUGCCUGUUGAGCCACAGAGAAACUUUGUGUGUACGUUUAUAUUACUGAAUGAGAAAUGAUGCGUAUUUUGUUAUUAUUAUUUUAUAUUUUCGUAAAUUUAUAUGAGCUUAGUGAUUAAAUAUAUAUUAUUCAUCUUGUAUAAACACAGAGCUCUAACUCAUUUCUCUGCUACUUUUAUUUUCAGUUGAACUAAACUGUAAGAUUGGUUUAUCAGAAUGUGUAACUGUUACACUGCAACUCUGCACAACCCUGCUGAUCCACUGAAUAGGUUUCAUUUUUUAUUUUUGACUUCAAAUGUAAACAAGCAAAAUUUAUUAAUUCCACUAUAAAUGUUAUGUAAUUUCUUUAACUUCAGUGUUUGUAGGCGUAAUAAGCUAUUUUUUUUUAAUCAAUUGAGUCUUUAUUUCUGUAAUAUACUGUAUGUGGGGAACUUGUUCUCUGAAGUUCUGUUUUUCCUGAUUUUAGUUUUGCUUCAUCUCAGGAAAAAGUCUGCAGUGAUUGAAUCAAGUUUGUAUGAAAGUGGUGUGGCGCCCAAUUUCCUUAUAAUAAAUCCUUUUUUGCCACAUGUAGCGCAGCCAUCAUUCUAACUGACGCAGAUCUUCAAGUAAACUGCUCUCAACUUUACUUCCCAGCUGACCAUUUGACCCUUUCAGUGCCUCAUUUCUGUAGUGAUUUGCAGAAAAGCUGUAAUAGAAAAAGUAAAAUGUAGUGUUGAAACAGGAAGUUUGGUCUUUAUAAAGUGUGGAUGAAUGUCUAUGAGGAAGAUGACCAUGUUUGAAGUUUCUGGGAUAAUUUUUUCUUUUUUUUCAAUCCCUUUUCCUUCAAGAUCACAGAUAUAAAUCAAAUCCGCCUUUUUUGUAGGAAGCGGUAGGUUGUUUGCGGUGGUGGCUGGUGACAAGUGUUCUAGGUGGGGCUUUGCCAUAUACAGUCAGUUUCAGUAACCAUCCUAUUACAAUGUAACACAAACUGCAGGAUACCCGAGCACUGAGACAUAGUAAUAAUUUAAUGCCAAUAUUAAAAAAUGAAGGCAUUCUGAAACAAAAACUUAAACUUUCCAUUUGCAUUUGAAACUGAACUUGUAAACAGUUGACUCUUUUUUACACAUACCAUCUGUUCUUGACUGUUACUCCAGUGCCCCCUUGUGGCAGCAGCACACAGCUGAGGACAUGAAGAAUGCAGAUAAAUAGACAAUGCAAGAGGCACACCAUCAGCAGAGUGAAAAGUUAACUUUAUACUAUAAUAUCAAAUUAUAAUUACAAACAGCUGGUUAGUUAUCGAUGGAAGCUUCUAGCCUGCAGUGAUGUGAUGCAGUUUAUUUGCCUCCUUUUAAAAAGCCUGUUUUGAUCUGUUAUCAGUCUGAAUGCAGAAAUUGCUUCAGGGAGUCUACUGGACCAUUUCUCACCGCUCCAGUUGUAACGCUUUAAAAAUAUGUUGAAUUUAAUAGAUCAACCUCUUUUGAUGCUGUAUGUUACACAAAUGAUCUGUUUUCUUGAGUAUAAAAUAAAAAUGUUUUUUUUUCCCCAAUACAUUUAUAGAACUCAGUAAUGGACAAAAUGUCUUCAGAUAGAGAUUUCUAGUAGUGUAGAUGUACUAUACUGAUUUAUGUUACUAUAAUAUGACUUUAAAGCUACGUUAAGUUACAAUGAAGCAGCAUGUUAAUGUAAAAUCAUACAUAACGUUUAAAAUUGGAUCUGCAGAGGACAAAAGACUAAUAAAGAGUAGAGAAGAGUUCAGUGCUGUUUGGAGGAGGGACUCCAUCAUUUAGAGAAGUGAGGAGUUCCUGGUUUACCAGUGAAGACGGAAGAGAGGCAGCGAUAAACCAUCAGAGCCUCCAACAUGAAAGUCUGUCACACUUUGAUCUGCUUCUUCUUCCUCUGUGAGUACACUCUCCUUCUGUCUCUAUCAUUCUCUCUCUUUAUUUUAUCAGUUUUCUGUAAUUUUUUUAUAGUUGGUCAGUUAGCUUUGUGUAGCAUGUUAAAAAAUGGACUCUGUUGUGUCACAUCUCAUCUCAGUCUUGCUUGAUUGUUCUCUGUCUCUGUCUCACACAUCGUUGGUUUCUGUGGUUGAACACGAUGUUCAGAGUCACUUUAAAAUGUACAGGUACUAGUUAUCUCCUCAAAAUCUUAGCCUGCCAAUCUGCAACCAACUAUUGUUCUUCUGUACAUGUUUUAUAGUUUAAUUGUUACUGCUGACUGUUGCAGUCUCAUAGAAGUAGCAGAAAGAUUAUUUCUUACAUAGUAAUAUAGAAACCUCCAAGUUGCACUAAAAUACAUCUUAGCAACUUUUUCAGAACUGUGCAGAGUCAAUGCCUCUUCCUUUAGUUAACUUGCAGUUUGCUAAACCACUUUGGUCAACCUUCUUAGAGCAAAAGAGAGAAAACAAUUAACCUUUAUUAUUUGAUUUCAACCAGCUCCAGAGGAAGAACUGCAGCAGUGAACCACAGUUAGAAACCUUGCUGACAAAC
rnacentral:lncRNA from 1 species